UACGUAGGGGGCAAGCGUUGUCCGGAAUCAUUGGGCGUAAAGAGCGUGUCGGCGGCUCGGUAAGUCCGCUGUAAAAGUCAAAGGCUCAACCUUUGAAUGUCAGUGGAUACUGCCGGGCUAGAGUCCGGAAGAGGCGAGUGGAACUCCUGGUGUAGCGGUGGAAUGCGCAGAUAUCAGGAAGAACACCAACGGCGAAGGCAGCUCGCUGGGACGGUACUGAAGCUGAGACGCGAAAGCGUGGGGAGCGAACAGG
rnacentral:rRNA from 1 species